rnacentral:rRNA from 1 species
GAUGAACGCUAGCUACAGGCUUAACACAUGCAAGUCGAGGGGUAACGAGAGGAAAGCUUGCUUUCCUUGUCGACGACCGGCGCACGGGUGAGUAACGCGUAUCCAACCUGCCCCCAACUAAGGAAUAACCUUGCGAAAGUAAGACUAAUACCUUAUAAUUUCCUCAGAUGUCAUCUGACGAGGAAUAAAGAUUUAUCGGUUGUGGAUGGGGAUGCGUCUGAUUAGCUUGUUGGCGGGGUAACGGCCCACCAAGGCAACGAUCAGUAGGGGUUCUGAGAGGAAGGUACCCCACAUUGGAACUGAGACACGGUCCAAAGUGCUACGGGAGGCAGCAGUGAGGAAUAUUGGUCAAUGGGCGGAAGCCUGAACCAGCCAAGUAGCGUGCAGGAUGACGGCCCUAUGGGUUGUAAAAUGCUUUUAUACAGGAAUAAAGUUAGCCACGUGUGGUUAUUUGUAGGUACUGUAUGAAUAAGGACCGGCUAAUUCCGUGCCAGCAGCCGCCGUAA